rnacentral:rRNA from 1 species
UAGGGAAUCUUCCGCAAUGGGCGAAAGCCUGACGGAGCAACGCCGCGUGAGUGAUGAAGGUCUUCGGAUCGUAAAACUCUGUUAUUAGGGAAGAACAAAGGUGUAAGUAACUAUGCACGUCUUGACGGUACCUAAUCAGAAAGCCACGGCUAACUACGUGCCAGCAGCCGCGGUAAUACGUAGGUGGCAAGCGUUAUCCGGAAUUAUUGGGCGUAAAGCGCGCGUAGGCGGUUUUUUAAGUCUGAUGUGAAAGCCCACGGCUCAACCGUGGAGGGUCAUUGGAAACUGGAAAACUUGAGUGCAGAAGAGGAAAGUGGAAUUCCAUGUGUAGCGGUGAAAUGCGCAGAGAUAUGGAGGAACACCAGUGGCGAAGGCGACUUUCUGGUCUGUAACUGACGCUGAUGUGCGAAAGCGUGGGGAUCAAACAGG